GCCUGGGUGGCUCAGUCGGUUGAGUGUCUGACUUAGGCUCAGGUCGUGAUCUCGUGAUUUGUAAGUUCGAGCCCCACUUUGGGUU
rnacentral:tRNA from 1 species